rnacentral:rRNA from 1 species
CGCGCGAUACGAGCGGCCGAUGUCUGAUUAGCUAGUUGGUGGGGUAAAGGCCCACCAAGGCGACGAUCAGUAGCGGGUCUGAGAGGAUGAUCCGCCACACUGGGACUGAGACACGGCCCAGACUCCUACGGGAGGCAGCAGUGGGGAAUUUUGGACAAUGGGGGAAACCCUGAUCCAGCCAUUCCGCGUGGGUGAAGAAGGCCUUCGGGUUGUAAAGCCCUUUUGUCUGGGAGCAAAUCCUUGUCGCUAAUACCGGCAGGGGAUGAGAGUACCAGAAGAAUAAGCACCGGCUAACUACGUGCCAGCAGCCGCGGUAAUACGUAGGGUGCAAGCGUUACUCGGAAUUACUGGGCGUAAGGCGUGCGCAGGCGGUUUCGUAAGCUCGAUGUGAAAUCCCCGGGCUUAACCUGGGAACUGCAUUGAGGACUGCGAGGCUAGAGUACGGCAGAGGGGGGUGGAAUUCCACGUGUAGCAGUGAAAUGCGUAGAGAUGUGGAGGAACACCGAUGGCGAAGGCAGCCCCCUGGGCCUGUACUGACGCUCAUGCACGAAAGCGUGGGGAGCAAACAGGAUUAGAU